GGAGUGUACAGCUCAGUGGCAGAGCGUGUGCUUAGCGUGCACGGGGUCCUGGGUUCAAUCCCCUGUGUCUCCA
rnacentral:tRNA from 1 species